AGGACCCGUCUUGAAACACGGACCAAGGAGUCUAACAUGUGCGCGAGUCAUUGGGACUUGUAAAGCCUAAAGGCGCAAUGAAAGUGAAGGUCGGCCCUAGCGCCGACCGAGGGAGGAUGGCUCGCGUCACGAUGCGAGUCCGCACUCCCGGGGCGUCUCGUGCUCGUUACGAGCAGAGGCGCACCCAGAGCGUACACGUUGGGACCCGAAAGAUGGUGAACUAUGCCUGGUCAGGACGAAGUCAGGGGAAACCCUGAUGGAGGUCCGUAGCGAUUCUGACGUGCAAAUCGAUCGUCGGAACUGGGUAUAGGGGCGAAAGACUAAUCGAACCAUCUAGUAGCUGGUUCCCUCCGAAGUUUCCCUCAGGAUAGCUGGCACUCGCUUGAGCGAGUCUCAUCUGGUAAAGCGAAUGAUUAGAGGCCUUGGGGCCGAAACGACCUCAACCUAUUCUCAAACUUUAAAUGGGUGAGAUCUCUGGCUUGCUUGAACGUUGAAGCCACGAGAUGCGAUUUCAUUAUCGCAAUGGAUCAGAGUGCCAAGUGGGCCAAUUUUGGUAAGCAGAACUGGCGCUGUGGG
rnacentral:rRNA from 1 species